rnacentral:rRNA from 1 species
AUUGAACGCUGGCGGCAGGCCUAACACAUGCAAGUCGAACGAGUGGCGGACGGGUGAGUAAUGGCUGGGAACCUGCCUGAUGGAGGGGGAUAACUACUAGAAACGGUAGCUAAUACCGCAUACCAUCGGAUCUGCCCAGAUGGGAUUGGCUAGUGGGUGGGGUAAAGGCUCACCUAGGCGACGAUCCCUAGCUGGUCUGAGAGGAUGACCAGCCACACGGGGACUGAGACACGGUCCAGACUCCUACGGGAGGCAGCAGUGGGGAAUAUUGGACAAUGGGCGCAAGCCUGAUCCAGCCAUGCCGCGUGUAUGAAGAAGGCCUUCGGGUUGUAAAGUACUUUCAGCGGGGAGGCGGUACCCGCAGAAGAAGCACCGGCUAACUCCGUGCCAGCAGCCGCGGUAAUAC